UGGGGAAUUUUGGACAAUGGGGGCAACCCUGAUCCAGCAAUGCCGCGUGUGUGAAGAAGGCCUUCGGGUUGUAAAGCACUUUUGUCCGGAAAGAAAACUUCGGGGUUAAUACCCCUGGAGGAUGACGGUACCGGAAGAAUAAGCACCGGCUAACUACGUUCCAGCAGCCGCGGUAAUACGUAGGGUGCGAGCGUUAAUCGGAAUUACGGGGCGUAAAGCGUGCGCAGGCGGUUCGCUAAGACCGAUGUGAAAUCCCCGGGCUUAACCUGGGAACUGCAUUGGUGACUGGCGGGCUAGAGUAUGGCAGAGGGGGGUAGAAUUCCACGUGUAGCAGUGAAAUGCGUAGAGAUGUGGAGGAAUACCGAUGGCGAAGGCAGCCCCCUGGGCCAAUACUGACGCUCAUGCACGAAAGCGUGGGGAGCAAAC
rnacentral:rRNA from 1 species